UUACGACCAUAUCACGUUGAAACAUUGGUUCUCGAGCGAUCACCAAAGUUAAGCAACACGAGCCUGUUCAGUACUUAGGUGGGUGACCGCUCGGAAAUAUCAGAUGUUGUAAG